CCUACGGGAGGCAGCAGUGAGGAAUAUUGGUCAAUGGCCGGAAGUCUGAACCAGCCAAGCCGCGUGCAGGACGAAGGUGCCAAGCAUUGUAAACUGCUUUUGUCCAAGGACAAAAUCAGGCUCGAGAACCGGACCGAGGGUACUUGAAGAAAAAGCAUCGGCUAACUCCGUGCCAGCAGCCGCGGUAAUACGGAGGAUUCGAGCGUUAUCCGGAUUUAUUGGGUUUAAAGGGUGCGUAGGCGGACUGUUAAGUCAGCGGUAAAAGCCCGGGGCUCAACCCCGGCGAGCCGUUGAUACUGGCUGUCUAGAGAUGACGAGCGGUAGGCGGAAUGCGCAGUGUAGCGGUGAAAUGCUUAGAGAU
rnacentral:rRNA from 1 species